GACUGACAGCCUCAGCUUGUAAUGGCAGCCCUUUACCGGAUUUUAAUUGCGUUUGUGCGGCUCCCCUGUUGGUAUCUAAGCUGUUGCUGGUGGUGCUGUCAGCGCAUGCCGGGUGUGGACUCUCCAUCGGGACAGAAUCCAGUCCCAGUGUGAGUAUGUAAGUCACAGGAUGUCUCAGUCAAGUUCAUCUGAGCCGAGAGCUGGGAGUGCGGCAUUAUAAGUGAAGCAUAUAGCAGGAUGGUUUCCUUUCUUUGUGAUUCUGUGGUCAGCCGGUGUCCACCUGUGACGUCAUGCAUUGGCCAGAGGACAUUUUCAGGGUAAUCAUCCUAUUUCAAUCCAUUGAGAAUUAAGACACACAAUUUCGCUAAAUGACUAUACAUUUUAUGUAAGUCCUUAAAUAACAAUAAUAACAGAAAGAAGAAGGGGUAAACACCGUGUGUCCUGCAGUUUGGCUGCCUGUACCACAGCUGGAACAUUUCCACGAAGGGUGAAAAAUGCAUACGGCUCAAUUAUAUCAAGAACUGUCAUUGUUUAGAUGCCAUUUACACAUCUGUUAUUGGAUCACACAUUGUUCACUCCUUUGGCAAAAUUGUUGGGAUUGGGGCUGACCUAAUGGGCUGAGUAGUAACCCCGGAAACUCCAACCUACUCAUCAUGCCUCGUGGAGCAUAAAGUGCACAUCUAGCUCUCCUUCUCUCUCUCAGACACACACACACCUGGUCACAAGGCCUCAACUCCAUUCUAUAGCUGAAGUUACCAUGGGAACGCGUGCUCCCUGCAGCGAAGCUCAGCCAGCUCAGCACUUCAAGUGGCUCCACCCAUCAGACCCAUCCCUUGUAUCCCACCCCGCUGGUCUGUAGCAGGUGGCCGCGUGCUGGCGCGUGUGUGGUGUGACUGGGCGGUAAUGCAUAUUCACCCAUGCUGUGUGCAGGCGGGACAUGACUGAUGGAUGAUCUUGUCCAUUGCCAAUAGGGUGCCCAUUGCUAUACAUGCGCACACUGCACACAACUCACUGAUUGCUCUCUCUCUCUCUCUCUCUCUCUCUCUCUCUCUCUCUCUCUCUCUCUCUCUCUCUCUCUCUCUCUCUCUCUCUCUCUCUCUCUCUCUCUCUCUCUCUCUCUCUCUCUCUCUCUCUCUCUCUCUCUCUCACACACACACACACACACACACACACACACCUCUUUCCCGCUGUCCUCAGGCUAUCCCUGCUUUACACACGGCAUAUGGAAGCAGCUGGCCGUCGCGCCCAAGACCUCUGAGGGACUGUUAUCACAGUGUACCAGGAAGUAAUUAGAGCAAGCUGAAAAAAAUGUUUUUUCAUAGAUUUCAGUCCUUCACUACUCUUGACAUGACACUUUGUUUAGGGUUAUAAUGUUCUUAUACAACAAACAAGAAUAGCCUGGUGCCUAUGGCCAUUUUGAAAAAAGAACAAAUUAUUUUGGUGGCCGAAUGUUACUGUAUAUUUAUAAACUGAUUGUUCAAAUCAGAAAGUGAAACAAUGUCAUAAAGUCAAUGAAACAGUGAAACAGUCAUAAAAUACUUAAGAUUACAAAUUGACAGCUUUGUAUCCAUAAAUUGAGAAGUUAAUGUGAUUUUACAGUGCAGUACAUUCAUGGUGUCACUUUAUCCAAUGUCCACUUUAGUAGGAACACCUGCACAUUCUUGCAGUUAUUAAAAUAGGAAGUUUCUGUCAUUUUAAGAUGAGAAAAAAACUUUUCAGAAAAUCUGUGCCACUGCAGCCUCGGAUUCCUGUUCUUAGUGGUACCCCGAUGUGAUCUUCUGCUGCUAUAACUUAUAUGCCUCAAGGAUCAACAUAGUGUACAUUCUGAAAUACUUUUCAACUCUCCAUGGAUGUAAAGAGUGAUCACCUGAGUUAUCAUAGCCUUACUGUCAUCACAUUUUCCCCAUUCUAAUGUUAAAUAUGAACAUUGACAUUAUGCAUGAUUGUUUGAUUGGAUUGCAAAUUUAUAAAAAAAAAUCUACAUUAAAUUAGAGGUUAAUGGUCCUGUUCAAAAUAAAUCUGGCCACACUGCUCUUGCUCAUAUGAAGAAACAUUUUGCAUGAAACCUGGUUACUUUGAUCAAAUCUGACAUAAUACACUAAAAUCUAAAAUAAAAAAGAAGAGAAAUUACAGAAUUAAAAAGUGAUUGAUAAUAGGA